AUUGAACGCUAGCGGCAGGCCUAACACAUGCAAGUCGAACGAGUGGCGGACGGGUGAGUAAUGUCUGGGAAACUGCCCGAUGGAGGGGGAUAACUACUGGAAAGGGUAGCUAAUACCGCAUACCAUCAGAUCGGCACAGAUCGGAUUAGCUAGUUGGAGGGGUAACGGCUCACCAAGGCAACGAUCCCUCGCUGGUCUGAGAGGAGUACCAGCCACACUGGAACGGGGACACGGCCCAGACUCCGACGGGAGGCAGCAGUGGGGAAUAUUGCAAAAUGGGCGCAACCCGGAUGCAGCAAUGCAGCGUGUAUGACGAAGGCCUUCGGGUUGUAAAGUACUUUGGGCGGUGAGGCGUUAUCUGCAGAAGAAGCACCGGCUAACUCCGUGCCAGCAGCCGCGGUAAUUC
rnacentral:rRNA from 1 species